ACAAAGGCGAGGAAGAAGAGGAGUACAUACACAGCUCUUUCAGAGAGGGUUUUUCGCAGGCUGGAAGGAAACCUAAGGAUGCGUGGAUGGAAGGUAGCUUUGGAGCCGGAGGGCAGAACGAGUUCUGUGACAGGCGGUAUGCAGAUAAGUAUACGCGGACAGGACAGUAAGCUUUCACGUGACCCGACGUUAAAGGGAAAUGAGGUAUGCAUCCGUCUGUGAUGUAUAUGAAAAAAGGUGGUACCGCGUAAAUGACGCCCUUUGC
rnacentral:ncRNA from 1 species